rnacentral:rRNA from 1 species
ACGAACGCUGGCGGCAUGCCUAACACAUGCAAGUCGAACGAUGCUUUCGGGCAUAGUGGCGCACGGGUGCGUAACGCGUGGGAAUCUGCCCUUGGGUUCGGAAUAACAGUGAGAAAUUGCUGCUAAUACCGGAUGAUGUCUUCGGACCAAAGAUUUAUCGCCCAGGGAUGAGCCCGCGUAGGAUUAGCUAGUUGGUGGGGUAAUGGCCUACCAAGGCGACGAUCCUUAGCUGGUCUGAGAGGAUGAUCAGCCACACUGGGACUGAGACACGGCCCAGACUCCUACGGGAAGCAGCAGUGGGGAAUAUUGGACAAUGGGCGCAAGCCUGAUCCAGCAAUGCCGCGUGAGUGAUGAAGGCCUUAGGGUUGUAAAGCUCUUUUACCCGGGAUGAUAAUGACAGUACCGGGAGAAUAAGCUCCGGCUAACUCCGUG